rnacentral:rRNA from 1 species
CCUACGGGUGGCAGCAGUGAGGAAUAUUGCUCAAUGGACGCGAGCCUGAAGCAGCCAUGCAGCGUGAAGGAAGACUGCCUUCUGGGUUGAAAAUUCUUUUUAUAUGGGAAUAAAAUGUUUCACGUGUGGGAUUUUGUAUGUACCAUAUCAACAAGGAACGGCUAACCUCACGCCAGCAGCCGCGCUAAUACGGUGGAUCCGAGCGUUAUCCGGAUUUAAUGGGUUUAACGGGAACGUAGGUGGUUUGUUAAGUCAGUUGUGAAAGUUUGCGGCUCAACCGUAGAAUUGCAGUUGAAACUGGCAGUCUUGAGUACAGUAGAGGUGGGCGGAAUUCGUGGUGUAGCGGUGAAAUGCUUAGAGAUCAGGAGGAACACCGGUGGCGAAGGCAGCUCACUGGACUGCAACUGACGCUGAGGCUCGAAAGUGUGGGUAGCAAACAGGAUUAGAUACCCCUGUAGUC